AGCCAGGUAGCGCAGAGGUCGUCGCGCCCCGUCUGCAACUGGGAAGACGCCGGUUCGAAUCCGGCCCUGGCUU
rnacentral:tRNA from 1 species